rnacentral:rRNA from 1 species
GAUGAACGCUAGCUACAGGCUUAACACAUGCAAGUCGAGGGGCAGCAUAAAUCUAGCAAUAGAUUUGAUGGCGACCGGCGCACGGGUGAGUAACACGUAUCCAACCUACCUAUUACUCGGGUAUAGCCUUUCGAAAGAAAGAUUAAUCCCCGAUACGAUAUAAGAACCGCAUGGUUUUUAUAUGAAAGCUGUAUUGGUAUUAGAUGGGGAUGCGUUCCAUUAGAUAGUUGGUGAGGUAACGGCUCACCAAGUCUUCGAUGGAUAGGGGUUCUGAGAGGAAGGUCCCCCACACUGGAACUGAGACACGGUCCAGACUCCUACGGGAGGCAGCAGUGAGGAAUAUUGGUCAAUGGGCGAGAGCCUGAACCAGCCAAGUAGCGUGAGGGAUGACUGCCCUAUGGGUUGUAAACCUCUUUUAUAAAGGGAAUAAAACGCUCCACGAGUGGAGCUUUGCAUGUACCUUUUGGAUAAGGAUCGGCUAACUCCGUGCCAGCAGCCGCUGUAA